GGCGGCGUGCCUAACACAUGCAAGUCGAGCGGGGACGAUGCGACGGAGUCGAAGUUUCGGAUGGAGACAAAGAUGUAUUGUCUAGCGGCGGACGGGUGAGUAACGCGUGAGCAACCUGUCCCUUACAGGGGGAUAACACAGCGAAAGUUGUACUAAUACCGCAUAAGACCACAGAGUGACAUCGCUCAGGGGUCAAAGGAGCAAUCCGGUAAGGGGUGGGCUCGCGUCCGAUUAGAUAGUUGGUGAGGUAACGGCCCAUCAAGUCGACGAUCGGUAGCCGACCUGAGAGGGUGAUCGGCCACAUUGGGACUGAGACACGGCCCAAACUCCUACGGGAGGCAGCAGUGGGGAAUAUUGGGCAAUGGGGGGAAACCCUGACCCAGCAACGCCGCGUGAGGGAAGAAGGUUUUCGGAUCGUAAACCUCUGUCCUUGGUGAAGAGGAAGAGACGGUAGCCAAGGAGGAAGCCCCGGCUAACUACGUGCCAGCAGCCGC
rnacentral:rRNA from 1 species